rnacentral:rRNA from 1 species
CUACGGGUCGCUGCAGUGGGGAAUAUUGCGCAAUGGGGGAAACCCUGACGCAGCAACGCCGCGUGAAGGAAGAAGGCCUUCGGGUUGUAAACUUUUGUUUUUGGUGAAGAUAAUGACGGUAGCCAAGGAGAAAGCCACGGCUAACUACGUGCCAGCAGCCGCGGUAAUACGUAGGUGGCAAGCGUUGUCCGGAUUUACUGGGUGUAAAGGGCGUGUAGACGGGUUUGCAAGUCAGAUGUGAAAUGCAGGGGCUUAACCCCUGAGCUGCAUUUGAAACUGUAAAUCUUGAGUGCAGGAGAGGAAAGCGGAAUUCCUAGUGUAGCGGUGAAAUGCGUAGAUAUUAGGAGGAACACCAGUGGCGAAGGCGGCUUUCUGGACUGUAACUGACGUUGAGGCGCGAAAGCGUGGGUAACAAACAGGAUUAGAUACCCCCGUAGUC